GCCCCGGUAAACGGCGGCCGUAACUAUAACGGUCCUAAGGUAGCGAAAUUCCUUGUCGGGUAAGUUCCGACCUGCACGAAUGGCGUAAUGAUGGCCAGGCUGUCUCCACCCGAGACUCAGUGAAAUUGAACUCGCUGUGAAGAUGCAGUGUACCCGCGGCAAGACGGAAAGACCCCGUGAACCUUUACUAUAGCUUGACACUGAACAUUGAGCCUUGAUGUGUAGGAUAGGUGGGAGGCUUUGAAGUGUGGACGCCAGUCUGCAUGGAGCCGACCUUGAAAUACCACCCUUUAAUGUUUGAUGUUCUAACGUUGGCCCGUAAUCCGGGUUGCGGACAGUGUCUGGUGGGUAGUUUGACUGGGGCGGUCUCCUCCUAAAGAGUAACGGAGGAGCACGAAGGUUGGCUAAUCCUGGUCGGACAUCAGGAGGUUAGUGCAAUGGCAUAAGCCAGCUUGACUGCGAGCGUGACGGCGCGAGCAGGUGCGAAAGCAGGUCAUAGUGAUCCGGUGGUUCUGAAUGGAAGGGCCAUCGCUCAACGGAUAAAAGGUACUCCGGGGAUAACAGGCUGAUACCGCCCAAGAGUUCAUAUCGACGGCGGUGUUUGGCACCUCGAUGUCGGCUCAUCACAUCCUGGGGCUGAAGUAGGUCCCAAGGGUAUGGCUGUUCGCCAUUUAAAGUGGUACGCGAGCUGGGUUUAGAACGUCGUGAGACAGUUCGGUCCCUAUCUGCCGUGGGCGCUGGAGAACUGAGGGGGGCUGCUCCUAGUACGAGAGGACCGGAGUGGACGCAUCACUGGUGUUCGGGUUGUCAUGCCAAUGGCACUGCCCGGUAGCUAAAUGCGGAAGAGAUAAGUGCUGAAAGCAUCUAAGCACGAAACUUGCCCCGAGAUGAGUUCUCCCUGACUCC
rnacentral:rRNA from 1 species